rnacentral:tRNA from 2 species
GUCUUUGUAGUAUACUCAAUACACUGGUCUUGUAAACCAAAAAAGGAGAACAACCAACCUCCCUAAGACU